rnacentral:rRNA from 1 species
GCAUGGGGUAGCGAACAGGAUUUAGAUACCCUGGUAGUCCAUUCCGUAAACGAUGAGUGCUAGGUGUUGGAGGGUUUCCGCCCUUCAGUGCCGCAGCUAACGCAUUAAGCACUCCGCCUGGGGAGUAGGACCGCAAGGUUGAAACUCAAAGGAAUUGACGGGGGCCCGCACAAGCGGUGGAGCAUGUGGUUUAAUUCGAAGCUACGCGAAGAACCUUACCAGGUCUUGACAUCUUGCGCCAACCCUAGAGAUAGGGCGUUUCCUUCGGGAACGCAAUGACAGGUGGUGCAUGGUCGUCGUCAGCUCGUGUCGUGAGAUGUUGGGUUAAGUCCCGCAACGAGCGCAACCCUUGUUACUAGUUGCCAGCAUUCAGUUGGGCACUCUAGUGAGACUGCCGGUGACAAACCGGAGGAAGGUGGGGACGACGUCAGAUCAUCAUGCCCCUUAUGACCUGGGCUACACACGUGCUACAAUGGACGGUACAACGAGUCGCGAACUCGCGAGGGCAAGCUAAUCUCUUAAAACCGUUCUCAGUUCGGACUGCAGGCUGCAACUCGCCUGCACGAAGUCGGAAUCGCUAGUAAUCGCGGAUCAGCAUGCCGCGGUGAAUACGUUCCCGGGCCUUGUACACACCGCCCGUCACACCAUGAGAGUUUGCAACACCCAAAGUCGGUGGGGUAACCCUUCGGGGAGCUAGCCGCCUAAGGUGGGGCAGAUGA